UACGUAGGGUGCAAGCGUUAAUCGGAAUUACUGGGCGUAAAGCGUGCGCAGGCGGCUUUGCAAGACAGAUGUGAAAUCCCCGGGCUCAACCUGGGAACUGCAUUUGUGACUGCAUGGCUAGAGUACGGUAGAGGGGAUGGAAUUCCGCGUGUAGCAGUGAAAUGCGUAGAUAUGCGGAGGAACACCGAUGGCGAAGGCAAUCCCCUGGACCUGUACUGACGCUCAUGCACGAAAGCGUGGGGAG
rnacentral:rRNA from 1 species